rnacentral:misc_RNA from 1 species
GAUGAAGAACGCAGCGAAAUGCGAUAAGUAAUGUGAAUUGCAGAAUUCAGUGAAUCAUCGAAUCUUUGAACGCACCUUGCGCUCCUUGGUAUUCCGAGGAGCAUGCCUGUUUGAGUGUCAUGAAAUUCUCAACCUUUCUGGCUUUUGCUAGUCAGGCUUGGAUUAUGGGAGCUGCUGGCUUUUGAAGUCGGCUCUUCUAAAAUGUAUUAGCAAGAUCAUUGCUGCUCGUCAUUGGUAUGAUAAUUAUCUAUAUCAUUGAGAGUCAGUUUCCUUUAUUGGAAGAUUUUGCUCCUAACGGUCUUUAGCAAGACAACAUUUGACGAUUUUGACCUCAAAUCAGGUAGGACUACCCGCUGAACUUAAGCAUAUCAAUAAGCGGAGGA